rnacentral:sRNA from 1 species
GGUCGCGGCGUGCCAAUCGGACGUGACGGAGAUGGUGAACGCAUCGGUUUUUCCGAUUUCUCGGUGCGGGCAACGAAAUGCCAGGCGAGCACCUUUACCCGUUCGCCGC